GCUUGUCUCAAAGAUUAAGCCAUGCAUGUCUAAGUAUAAGCAAUUAUACAGCGAAACUGCGAAUGGCUCAUUAUAUAAGUUAUCGUUUAUUUGAUAGUACUUUCCUACAUGGAUAACCGUGGUAAUUCUAGAGCUAAUACAUGCUAAAAAUCCCGACUUCGGAAGGGAUGUAUUUAUUAGAUUAAAAACCAAUGCCCUUCGGGGCUCACUGGUGAUUCAUAAUAACUUCACGGAUCGCACGGCCUUGCGCCGGCGAUGGUUCAUUCAAAUUUCUUCCCUAUCAACUUUCGAUGUUUGGGUCUUGGCCAAACAUGGUUGCAACGGGUAACGGAGGGUUAGGGCUCGACCCCGGAGAAGGAGCCUGAGAAACGGCUACUACAUCCAAGGAAGGCAGCAGG
rnacentral:rRNA from 1 species